rnacentral:rRNA from 1 species
AUUGAACGCUGGCGGCAGGCCUAACACAUGCAAGUCGAGCGAGCGGCGGACGGGUGAGUAAUGUCUGGGAAACUGCCUGAUGGCGGGGGAUAACUACUGGAAACGGUAGCUAAUACCGCAUACCAUCAGAUGUGCCCAGAUGGGAUUAGCUAGUAGGUGGGGUAACGGCUCACCUAGGCGACGAUCCCUAGCUGGUCUGAGAGGAUGACCAGCCAAACGGGAACUGGGACACGGUCCAGACUCCAACGGGAGCCAGAAGUGGGAAAUAUUGCACAAGGGGGGCAAGCCUGAUGCAGCCAUGCCGCGUGUGUGAGGAAGGCCUUCGGGUUGUAAAGCACUUUCAGCGGGGAGGCGUUACCCGCAGAAGAAGCACCGGCUAACUCCGUGCCAGCAGCCGCGGUAAUAC